rnacentral:rRNA from 1 species
GAUGAACGCUGGCGGCGUGCCUAAUACAUGCAAGUCGAGCGAACAGACGAGGAGCUUGCUCCUCUGACGUUAGCGGCGGACGGGUGAGUAACACGUGGAUAACCUACCUAUAAGACUGGGAUAACUUCGGGAAACCGGAGCUAAUACCGGAUAAUAUAUUGAACCGCAUGGUUCAAUAGUGAAAGACGGUUUUGCUGUCACUUAUAGAUGGAUCCGCGCCGCAUUAGCUAGUUGGUAAGGUAACGGCUUACCAAGGCAACGAUGCGUAGCCGACCUGAGAGGGUGAGCGGCCACCCUGGGACUGAGACACGGUCCAGACUCCUACGGGAGGCAGCAGUAGGGAAUCUUCCGGAAUGGGCGGAAGCCUGACGGAGCAACGCCGCGUGAGUGAUGAAGGUCUUCGGAUCGUAAAACUCUGUUAUUAGGGAAGAACAAAUGUGUAAGUAACUAUGCACGUCUUGACGGUACCUAGUCAGAAAGCCACGGCUAACUUCGUG